rnacentral:rRNA from 1 species
UACAGAGGAGCCAAGCGUUGCCCGGAUUGACUGGGCGUAAAGCGCACGCAGGCGGAUGCGCGCGUGGGGUGUGAAAUCUGGCCGCUUAACGGCCAGGCGCCAUCCCAUACGGCGCGUCUGGAGUGAUGCAGAGGUCGAUGGAAUUGCCGGUGUAGUGGUGAAAUGCGUAGAGAUCGGCAGGAACACCCAGGGGGAAACCAGUCGACUGGGCAUCUACUGACGCUGAGGUGCGAGAGCGUGGGGAGCGAACCGG